UCUCACAUGAGUGUGCGGCUUGCUGGUGACUUCGGACAGACAACAUUCCUCUUUCAAUUUUUGGGAAAUAAAAAGGGGUGUCACUGUCGAGAAAGAGAAAAACAAGUUUUGUAUUACAAAGAGUACAAAGAGUGUGAAACUUCGCUGGGCUGUACCUGACUUGAUCACGUACAAGAUUUGCAGGAUGUCUCUGACAAUGUCUCAUGAUGAAGGGGUGACAGUGAUCACCACCAGCUCAAAUCCCAACAGCAAAUGGCCGAUACUGUGUCAGAUCCUGGGCAUUCUAUGUUACAGUCCAGUGUGUGCCGUAUCACAGCAUGUGAAAGCCAAGAUGACGGGCGUUUAUACAGCGCUUGGGAUUGUGCAGAUUGUAGUAGGAAUCCUCAAUAUCGUGACCUGGAGUAUAUUUUUACGCUUUGGGAUAGGCGGUCACAUUAUGGUGUUUGAAGUUCCAUUCUGGUUUGGGGGUGUGUUCCUUGUGGUUGGAAUCGUGUCUGUUGCUGCAGCUCAGUUUCCCAGUACUUUUCAUCUGCUCAUCGCUGUGGUGCUGAACAUAGUCAGCUCUGUUCUGGCUGUGAUAGGACUUGUACUGUAUUCAUGUGAAUUGGGUAUAGUUCUGUACAGUGACUAUAGGAAUGAGAUGAUCCAUGAAGCACUGGAUGUCACUAUGAUCAUCUUUUCAGCCCUUCAGAUUUGUGUGACCCUCAGGUUCUCUGUCUUGACUGUGAACUUGGUCGAAACGAAUCUAAGUGCAAAGUCUGUGGAGGACCCUUACAUUUACAAGCCACUUAAAGAAGAUGUCAUUGUCAGUCAUGUAUGUUAGAGAGACCAUAAAAAAUGAAAUAUAUUAUGUUAAUUGAAAUAGUAUUGUUAUGUACAAGUACAAUUUAUUCUCACUUGUGAAAUAUCAAAUCUCCUCUGUCUUCAGCACCACAAUCAUCAUGUUAAUUGUUUAUUCUUGCUGUUUAUUAUUUUAUUUUUUUCCUUUACCUUAAACUUUUGUUACAUUUUACAAAAUAUGGUACUUUUGUAAUGUUCAGUUGCGUUUUCAUGGACUUUUAGUUUGUACGUCCCCUGAGCCUUAGUUCCUGUUAACUUUUUUCCCCAUAUCCAGUUUGUUUCUAUAAACUAAAAGGUUUUUUUUAGUUCAAUAU